GUGAAUCAUCAAAUUUUUGAACGCAAAUUGCACUCUCUUCGGAGAGUAUGCCUGUUUGAGGGUCAGCCUAAAAAAAAAAUCGACAUAUUCGCUGUUUCCCGUUGACAUUCGUCGGAAAUUGGGUCAUCUUAAACUUUUUGUUUUUAAUAGGCUUAAAAUUUUCUUUACAAUUCCACUAACGUUUCUAAAAUUUUCUUCUUAUCCGUUUACGGUAUCGACCUUUAUUAGACGUGCCC
rnacentral:misc_RNA from 1 species